AAACUUUGCAAUGUGCGAAAGCACGACAAGGUUAAUCCGAGUGAUUUCUGCUAAAGAAAUCUUUCGCAAGUCAUAAAACCACUAGUGAAUAAGGGGUGGGCAAGUUCUGGUGUCAGCCGCCGCGGUAAAACCAGCACCUCAAGUGGUCAGGAGGAUUAUUGGGCCUAAAGCAUCCGUAGCCGGCUCUGUAAGUUUUCGGUUAAAUCCAUGUGCUCAACGCAUGGGCUGCCGAAAAUACUGCAUAGCUAGGGAGUGGGAGAGGUAGACGGUACUCGGUAGGAAGGGGUAAAAUCCUUUGAUCUAUCGAUGACCACCUGUGGCGAAGGCGGUCUACCAGAACACGUUCGACGGUGAGGGAUGAAAGCUGGGGGAGCAAACCGGAUUAGAUACCCGGGUAGUCCCAGCUGUAAACGAUGCAGACUCGAUGAUGCAUUGGCAUAUAGCCAGUGCAGUGUCGCAGGGAAGCCGUUAAGUCUGCCGCCUGGGAAGUACGUACGCAAGUAUGAAACUUAA
rnacentral:rRNA from 1 species